UUUCUUCUACAAAUACAAAAAUUAACUGGGCAUGGUGGCAGGCGCCUGUAAUCCCAGCUACUUGGGAGUUUGAAGCAGGAGAAUUGCUUGGACCUGGGAGGCAGAGAUUGCAGUGAGCCAAGAUCAUGCCACUGCACUCCAGCCUGGGCAACAGGGUGAGACUCCAUCUCCAAAAUAAUAAUAAUAAUAACAAAUGAAAAAUAAAUUAUGAGUUCACACCAAUAUUUUCCACUCAAAUUCAGGACUGCAGAGGGUCUGGGGUUUGUAUGUCUGUUUUAAUCAGUUUUAUUAAGAUACAAUUUACAUACAAUAAAUUUACCUCUUUUAAAUGUACAAAUUGAUGAGUAUUGACAAAUGUAUAACCAUCUCCACAAAGGCAAUGUAGAAAAUUUUCAUCACCCCUUAAAGUCCUUUUACACUUUUUUUUGAGACUGCCUCAGUAGUAACCACUGCUAAAUUUAUCAGAGAACUGCACACCUGGAUUGUAUUUUGACAGAACUUCCUUCCAACCCAAUUGCUUUUAAUAAUUUUUUUAUGAUAAAUUUUUACCCAAAAUGUUAUAGAAUUUAUUUACAAAGAAAUUUCGUAAGUUGUAUUUCUCCUACUGGUGUGGUAUUAUGCUAAGGAAACAGGUCUGGAGUCAUGAAAUCCUUAGGUGUCUAAUUUUUCUAACCUGUAAGUUUCUGUGCUACUGCAGAUCUCAGUUACUGUCUCUGGUGGUGGGUGUGUGCUGCGGAAGAGUCAGAGGUAAGGCACUAGUCCAUUUCCUUCCAGGACAGUUGAGAAAGAAGGAAAUGAACUCCAGUCAUCACAAAUCCACUGUUGAUGAUUCCUCUGGCCAGGUCUCCCCUUUAAAUCCUUAGGGAGAAGCAACACUGAGAAAAGAUAACUUCUUCUUUUUUUUUUUUUUUUGAGACGGAGCCUUCCUCUGUCGCCCAGGCUGGAGUGCAGUGGCGCGAUCUGGGCUCACUGCAAGCUCCGCCUCCCGGGUUCACACAAUUCUUCUGCCUCAGCCUCCCGAGUAGCUGGGACUACAGGUGCCCGCCACCUCGCCCGGCCAAUGUUUUUGAAUUUUUUAGUAGAGACGGGGUUUCAUCGUGUUAGCCAGGAUGGUCUUGAUCUCCUGACCUUGUGAUCCACCCGCCUCGGCCUCCCAAAGUGCUGGGAUUACAGGCGUGAGCCACCACGCCCGGCCAAAAGACAACUUCUUUAGUUGUAAUCCCCCAUCCCUGAGAGUAGAAGAGGCAGAAGGCCAAAAAGUCGACCACACAUGUUUGCAGCUCCUCAUCCCAGCAAGAUUUCUGUGCUGCCCUGGUGUUACCCUGCAGAUGCCACCUUUUCCCAGUUUUCUACUGGAUUAUUGGUCUUUCUCUUAAUGAUUUGUAAAAGCUCAUAAUAUUAUGAAACUUCAUACAAUAUCUGAGACCUGGGCUCAAAAUACAGUCAUGCUUCACCUAACAGUGGAGGUCACUGUUUGAACAGCAUAGAGUGUACUCACACAAACCUAGAUGGCAUAGCCUGCUACACGCCUAGGGUGUGUGGGAUAGUCUAUUCUUCCUAGGGAUAAACCUGUACAGCAUGCUACUGAACACUAGGCAAUUGUAGCACAAUGGUAAGUAUUUGUGUAUCUAAAUGUGUCUAAACAUAGAAAAGGUACAGUAAAAACACGGUAUUAUAGUUUUUUGGGACCCCAUUUUAUAUUUGGUCCAUGAAUGACUGAAAUGUUAUUAUGCAACACAUCAUGGUGUUUUCUCCCUAGUUAUUCUUUUUUUUUUUUUUUUUUUUUUUUUUUUUUUUGAGAUGGAGUCUUGCUCUGUCGCCCAGGCUGGAAUGCAGUGGCGCGAUCUUGGCUCACUGCAACCUCCACCUCCCAGGUUCAAGCAAUUCUCAUGCCUCAGCCUCCCCAGUAGCAGGGACUACAGGUAUGUGCCACCACACCAACUAAUUUUUGUAUUUUUAGUAGAGACGGGGUUUCACCGUGUUGGACAGGCUGGUCUCAAACUCCCAACCUCAGGUGAUCCACCUGCCCCAUGGGAUUACAGACGUGAGCCACUGCGCCCGGCCCCUAGUUAUUCUUUGGAUUUAGUUUAUGAUUUCUAAAUGUAAUUUUUAAAUGUUUCAUCUAAUUAAAUGAUUUAUCUAAUUAAAUUUAACAAUCCUUUAUGUUUUCUGGGUUGUGAGUCAUACCUAUAAAAGUCCUCCCCACUUCAAGAUUAUUUUUAAAUCCCCUGCAUAUUCUUCUAGCUCUUCUGUGACUACAUCUAUCAGAAUUAAUUUUGUUGUAAAGAAUGAGGUAGGAGUCCAACUUUUUUAAUGUGAUUCUCAAGUUUUUACAAUAUGUUGAAUAAUCCAUCUUUUCCCCAUUGAUUUAAGAUGCCAUAUUUAUCCUAUACUAAGUUCCUGUACAUAUUUAGAACUACAUCUGGACUUUCCGUUCCAUUGUUCUACUUGUUCAAUCACAUACAAAUAUGUUUGUAGAGACAGGGUUUCGCCAAGUUGCCCAGGCUAGUCUUGAACUCCUGGGCUCAAGCAAUCCUUCUGCCUUGGCCUCCCAGGGUAUUGGGAUUAUAGGCGUGAGCCACCACACCCACCCCUAUUGUUGCCAUUGUUCUAGUUGCUGUGAUAGAGGAAAUGUUGGGAGGUGGUGUAUCUGCCACCUCUGUGUCCUGUGUCAUAUCCCUGGGCCUUCCCUCUGACCCAGCAGCAUCUGAGGGUCUACUCACUUUGCACUGAUAGUGUCUUGCUUCAAUUGCACAAUACACAUGUUCACUUUCUGUCCUGGGGUGUUUGCAGUGCCUGGGGUGAGACACUGAGGUAAGCCUGCUUGGAAUACCCACAUGCUAGUCUAGAAGUGGGGGAGGUGUCGCUUUCUGGGGUGAUCCUCAACCAGUGAGCGUUGGACACCAGUGGAUAAAUGCCUCUCACUAUCAAUCCUCAAGUGGACAAUACUGAGAAGAGGCUCUUGGGCUCUUCAGAAGAUUCCAGUGGGCUCAUGUCCAGCUGCCCACCACAGUGCUCAACUCAGCAAAACACCCUGGUACUGGUUUUUCCCAUGGCGCAUUGGGCCUGCUUCCUAGGGCCACCUCCUACAUAAAUGAUGUGCAUAGAAGGCCUUAUUUCAGGCUCUGCUUUCAGGUCUGGUCCAGGAUAAAACAAGCGACCAGAAGUCCCUAGAAAGCAGCCUCAGGGAACAAAAUUACCCCCUAGGGAUGGAUGGCAACAAGGACUCCCUUGCUGGUGAUAGGUAGGCAGUGAGAACCCUUAGAACGCCACAGCUCCACAAUUCCUAAGACCUUCCCCUGCCAUGUGGAAUGAGGUUUAGAAAGAAAUGAGGCACUAGUGGACGCCAGCAUUCCAGCACUUGAAAGGUUUGGGGCAAUGCUAAUUAUGUGGAUUGUGAAGUUAAUUGGCUUCUCUUAGCUGCCUUAGAAGAUUUGCAAGGAGAAAAUGAGAGGCUACGGUUCAGGGCAAGCUGUGAAACCCUGAUGACAGGGUUUAAGCCACUCUCAUUUAUCACAGCCAGCUGGAAGGCUGUGCUGAAAGCCAAUUCCAGGAUCUGAUCGAAAGGGUGGGCCAACCAUGGAGGAGAUGGAGUGAGCACAUCUAGCAGUUCUGCUCUGCUAACUUCUGACACUGACAGGGACGGGGUAGGCCUUGGGAUGUGGACAUUUGAGAAUAAGAAACUCCCAAUGCCCGCGAGCGCUCUUGAGAAGGAGAACAGCCCCUCUUAUUAGAAGACCUCACAUGAGGCAGGCGCUUCACAAUAUUUUUUAAAUUAUUGUGGUAAGUUAUACAUAACAUAAAAUUUUUUACCAUUUUAACCAAUUUUAGGUGUGUAAUUCAAUGGUAUUAAAAACAUUCAUUCAUAUUGCCGGGCGCAAUAGCUCAUGCCUGUAAUCCCAGCACUUUGGGAGGCCAAGGCAGGCCAAUCAUUUGAGGUCAGGAGUUUGAGACCAGCCUGGCCAACAUGGUGAAACCUCAUCUUUACUAAAAAUACAAAAAUUAGCUGGGCAUGGUGGUGGGUGCCUGUAAUCCCAGCUACUUGGGAGGCUGAGGCACAAGAAUCGCUUGAACCCGGGAGGCAGAGGUUGCAGUGAGCCGAAAUCGUGCCCCUGCACUCCAGCCUGGGCAACAGAGAGAGACUCUGUCUCAAAAAACAACAACAACAAAACUCAUAUUAUUGUGCAACCAUCACCACCUUCCAUCUUUUUUCCAGAACUUUUUUGUCUUUCCAAACUGAAACGCUGUAUCUGUUAGCCAGUCACUCCUCGUUGUCCCCUGCCCCCAUCCCCCAGGAACCACCAUUCUAUUUGCUUCACUACAUUUUGCUUGUCUUCUUUAAGAUCCAUCCUUGUCUCCCCUAUAGCUUAAUAACCAGGGUCGGGUCUCAGUAGAGCCUGACAGGGUAAAGGCAGUUCCUGAUGUGAGUGGCAAUUGCUGAGCCACACAAAGACUGCAGCAUCUGCGGACGCACUCUUCCAGGAGCCAGAGGAGCCCACAGCAGCGUGGGUCUGAGCGUGCUGAGGUGGUGAGCGUGGAUAUAAGACUAGAUCAGGAAAUGGAGGGCCAGCUAAAUCAUGAACAUCAAUGAAUAUCAAUAUCUUUUUUUUUUUUUUUUUUUUUUUUGAGAUGAAGUCUUGCUCUUGUCGCCCAGGCUGUAGUGCAGUGGCACGAUCUUGGCUCACUGCAACCUCUGCCUCCCGGGCUCAAGUGAUUCUCCUGCCUCAGCCUCCCGAGUAGCUGGGACUACACACACACACCACCACACCUGGCUAAUUUUUGUAUUUUUAGUAGAGAUGGGGUUUUUGCCAUGUUGGCCAGGCUGGUCUCGAACUCCUGACCUCAAGUAAUCCACCUGCCUCAGCCUCAAGUUUGCUUUUUGUUCAUGGAAAUCAGCUUCAUAAAAAGCAUCUUACCCUGAGAUGUAGUUUGUUUCUGUAAAUUUCAGAAGUUGAGUUCAGAAUAGACAUAUCCAGAUUUAUAAGAAUCACAGGCUUCUGAAAUAUAAAAGGGAAAAUAAUUUACUUAGGAUAUGUGACCAGCAAGGCUGUUUUUAAAAAUCCUAUUUCUAGUAGCUGGGUGGCCUGACAGAACCAGGUAUUAACUAAUUUUUUCCUGGACUGUGUUAAAUAAUUUAUUCUUGAAAAUGUUAGCUGGGCAUAAUGCCUCAUGCCUGUAAUCCCAACACUUUGGGAGGCCGAGGCAGGAAGAUUGGUUGAGCCCAGGAGUUCAAGACCAGCUUGGGCAAUAUAGCAAGAUACUUGUCUCUAUCCAAAAAAAAAAAAAAAAUUAGUCAGACAUGGUGGUGCACACCUGUAGUCCCAGCUACUCAGGAGGCUAAGGUGGGACGACUGCUUCAGCCCAAGAGGUAGAGGGUGCAGUGAGCUGAGAUUGUGCCACUGCACUCUAGCCUGGGCAACAGAGUGAGAGUCUCAAAAAAAAGGAGAAAGGCAGGAAAGAAAGAAAAGAAAGAGAAAAAGAAAGAGAGAGAGAGAGAAAGAAAAGAAAGAAAGAAGAAAGAAAGAAAGAAAGAAAGAGAAAGAAAGAAAAAGAAAAAAUAAAGAGAGACAGAAAGAGAAAGAAAGAAAGAGAGAGAGGGAGGGAGGGAGAGAGGGAAGGAAGGAAGGAAGGAAAUGUUUGAGUAGUGAUCCUGUAUCCUCCUCUCUGGGUUUUUUUUCUAUGACAUUCCCCCACCACAUCUUUCCCUCUUCCUCACCCUCCAUCUCCUGAUGAGAUUUUUUUAGGAGCUGGGGUGCUGGUUGCCAUUGGUUCCUUGCAGUGUGCCUGCAUUGCUCCCAUCCACCCCAUUAACGGGCUCCUGAA
rnacentral:lncRNA from 10 species